GAGCUGCUCAGGAUCAAUUCGGACCUCCAUAGAUGGUGGAGCCGAGGAGGAAGGUCCGGCGGAGGUGGUAGGAGCAGGAGGAGUGGAUGGAAGGUCUGGAUGGUCUGGAAGGUCUGGGUAGUCUGAAUCGGGCUCAGGACUGGGUGAAGGUCUGGUGGUCUGAGCGGUGAGGGUAGACUUCCUAACCCAUACCCCCUCUCUCUUCCGAAACUCCAUCCUGUG
rnacentral:lncRNA from 1 species